UUCCUGGUGUUAAUAGGGAGAGGUGCAUCAAGAUGGCAAUUGUGCAUGAUAUUGCAGAAGCUAUUGUCGGUGAUAUUACACCUUCUGAUGGUGUUCCUAAAGAGGAAAAGAGUAGGCUUGA